UACGUAGGGUCCGAGCGUUGUCCGGAAUUAUUGGGCGUAAAGGGCUCGUAGGCGGUUAGUCACGUCGGGAGUGAAAACUCAGGGCUCAACCCUGAGCGUGCUUCCGAUACGGGCUGACUAGAGGUAUGCAGGGGAGACUGGAAUUCCUGGUGUAGCGGUGAAAUGCGCAGAUAUCAGGAGGAACACCGGUGGCGAAGGCGGGUCUCUGGGCAAUAACUGACGCUGAGGAGCGAAAGCGUGGGGAGCGAACAGG
rnacentral:rRNA from 1 species